GAUUAACUUUUUUGUGUCCGCCUUAAUAGUUAAAAAAUGCAACUAUUUUCUUCACACACACACUUGGAGAGUAAUUGGUGGUAAUCACUAAUCAGAACCUGGGUGUUGUUGGACUGGAAGCUUGGAGGGUUAUGGCAGCAGUCUUCGUCAAUGAUUACGGACAACCAAUUUCCAGGAACUGCACAACAGUGGUCACUGGAAGAGCUCAUUGGUUCGUACACAUGUGCCUGUUUCAUACAAAAACCGGAAGAUUGUGCCUCAGAAGAAUAAGGAUGAUGUUUGGAAUACGCUUAAGGACGAAUUCAAUAUACCUGAAACAUUGAAGGAAAUUGUUCAGAAGUCCAUGGUUGGUCCAUGGAGGAGAUUCAAAACUGAGUUACCUACCGAUCAUUAUGAUUUGUACCCUACUCAUGAAAAAAGGAUUCUACAUGUUCCACCAACUGUAAGAGAAGAUGAUUGGAU